UACAGAGGGUGCGAGCGUUAAUCGGAAUUACUGGGCGUAAAGGGCGCGUAGGCGGAUAAUUAAGUUAGAUGUGAAAUCCCUGGGCUUAACCUAGGAACUGCAUCUAAUACUGUUUAUCUGGAGUGCGGUAGAGGAUAGUGGAAUUUCCGGUGUAGCGGUGAAAUGCGUAGAUAUCGGAAGGAACACCAGUGGCGAAGGCGGUUCUCUGGGCCUGUACUGACGCUGAGGAGCGAAAGCGUGGGGAGCGAACAGG
rnacentral:rRNA from 1 species